rnacentral:rRNA from 1 species
GACGAACGCUGGCGGCGUGCCUAAUACAUGCAAGUAGAACGCUGAAGGAGGAGCUUGCUUCUCUGGAUGAGUUGCGAACGGGUGAGUAACGCGUAGGUAACCUGCCUGGUAGCGGGGGAUAACUAUUGGAAACGAUAGCUAAUACCGCAUAAUAGUAGAUGUUGCAUGACAUUUGCUUAAAAGGUGCAAUUGCAUCACUACCAGAUGGACCUGCGUUGUAUUAGCUAGUUGGUGGGGUAACGGCUCACCAAGGCGACGAUACAUAGCCGACCUGAGAGGGUGAUCGGCCACACUGGGACUGGGACACGGCCCAGACUCCUACGGGAGGCAGCAGUAGGGAAUCUUCGGCAAUGGACGGAAGUCUGACCGAGCAACGCCGCGUGAGUGAAGAAGGGUGUCGGAUCGUAAAGCUCUGUUGUAAGAGAAGAACGAGUGUGAGAGUGGAAAGUUCACACUGUGACGGUAUCUUACCAGAAAGGGACGGCUAACUACGUG